rnacentral:rRNA from 1 species
GACGAACGCUGGCGGCGUGCUUAACACAUGCAAGUCGAACGGAAAGGCCCUGCUUGCAGGGUACUCGAGUGGCGAACGGGUGAGUAACACGUGGGUGAUCUGCCCUGCACUUCGGGAUAAGCUUGGGAAACUGGGUCUAAUACCGGAUAGGAGCCAUCUUUAGUGUGGUGGUUGGAAAGUUUUUUCGGUGUAGGAUGAGCUCGCGGCCUAUCAGCUUGUUGGUGGGGUAAUGGCCUACCAAGGCGGCGACGGGUAGCCGGCCUGAGAGGGUGUACGGCCACAGUGGGACUGAGAUACGGCCCAGACUCCUACGGGAGGCAGCAGGGGGGAAUAUUGCACAAUGGGCGCAAGCCUGAUGCAGCGACGCCGCGUGGGGGAUGAAGGCCUUCGGGUUGUAAACUCCUUUCGCUAGGGACGAAGCUUUUUGUGACGGUACCUAGAGAAGAAGCACCGGCUAACUACGUG